UACGUAGGGUGCAAGCGUUAAUCGGAAUUACUGGGCGUAAAGCGUGCGCAGGCGGCUUUGCAAGACAGAUGUGAAAUCCCCGGGCUCAACCUGGGAACUGCAUUUGUGACUGCAAGGCUGGAGUGCGGCAGAGGGGGAUGGAAUUCCGCGUGUAGCAGUGAAAUGCGUAGAUAUGCGGAGGAACACCGAUGGCGAAGGCAAUCCCCUGGGCCUGCACUGACGCUCAUGCACGAAAGCGUGGGGAUCAAACAGG
rnacentral:rRNA from 1 species